ACCCGCUGCGCCGGCCGGCAACGCAGCCUGCCGCGCCUUGCCCAGGGUGAGCACGCCGCAGAGCUGGCAACGCCGCGCAGCCACCGCGAGCCCGACGCCGCCCGACCCAGCCCGUCCUACGCGCGCGACGGCCCCUGACGGCGCCCCGCGCGGCACGCUGGGAGUUGUAGUCCGCGCCGCGCAGCCCCGCCGGACCACAGAGGACCCCGGGGCCGUGAGGAGGCAGGCGGGCUCUGCCUGGACCCCGACCGCCAAUCCCUGGGCGUCCGGACGUGGGGGAGAGCAUCCCCAUCGCACCGUUGGCGGAAAAUCUGGAGUCCGCGCCCGGACCCGAGCAGAGUUCAGCAAAGGCCCGGCGCCACACCUAGAAGAACGCUAAAAGGGCUGUUUCAGGCAGAGGGGACAUGGGUUCGAGCCCUGGUCUGGGAAGAUCCCACAUGCUGCGGAGCAACUAAGCCCGUGCACCACAACUACUGAGCCUGCUUGCCACAACUACUGAGCCCGCAUGCCACAACUACUGAAGCCCGUGCGCCUAGAGCCCCUGCUCCACAAGAGGAGCCACCACAAUGAGAAGCCCGCGCACUGCCACGAAGAGUAGCCCCUGCUCACCGCAACUAGAGAAAACCCGCGCGCAGCAACGAAGACCCAACGCAGCCAAAAAUAAAUAAUAAAUAAAAUAAAUAAAUUUAUUAAAAAAAAAGAAA